UCUCGUGGUGUAACGGUAGCACACUCGACCCGUAUUCGAGAUGUCCAGGUUCGAGCCCCGGCGAGA
rnacentral:tRNA from 1 species